rnacentral:rRNA from 1 species
CCUACGGGUGGCAGCAGUGAGGAAUAUUGGUCAAUGGACGGAAGGCUGAACCAGCCAAGCCGCGUGAAGGACGAAGGUGCUAAGCAUUGUAAACUUCUUUUGUCAAGGGACAAAAUCAGGCUCGAGAGCCUGACAGAGGGUACAUGAUGAAAAAGAAUCGGGUAACUCCGUGCCAGCAGCCGCGGUAAUACGGAGGAUGCGAGCGUUAUCCGGAUUUAUUGGGUUUAAAGGGAGAGUAGGCGGCAAGGUAAGAGAUAUGUGAAAGCCUUAGGCUUAACAAAAGGAUUGCAUAACGAACUGUCUAGCUAGAGUACAGGAGAGGAAAGCGGAAUUCCUGGUGUAGCGGUGAAAUGCUUAGAUAUUAGGAAGAACACCAGUGGCGAAGGCGGCUUUCUGGACUGAAACUGACGCUGAGGCUCGAAAGCGUGGGGAGCGAACAGGAUUAGAUACCCCUGUAGUC